GUAAGAAUACUGUAUACUACUGAGUGUUCUACGUGCUGAGGCUGCUUCUAGCCCUAGGAGUCUAUGAAGAGUCUUGACAUUCUUCAUUGUCAAGACUAUGCUUCAGCUCAAUUCCACUGGAGCUGGAAUCAUGUUAUCAGAUAUUCUACCAGAUGUUUGCAGGGCUUGUCAUAUAAAUGAAACAGCUUUGACUAUGGUCAGGCUUCCUCCAAGUCUUCAGUGAUGACAGCAAAGUUGUUUUCUUCUUUGCCAUUAAAGAUAAUCAGAAGAACUUUUUAUGCCCCAAAGCUCUAAGUCCAACAACAAGAACAACAUACCAAUUUUGAAAAGUAGAGAUGUGGCAACUGCCGUGCCAAGAUUUGCAGAAACAGUCAUGGAAUGACUCCACAGCAGUUCUGGAAUAGAUGGAGUGCCAUGUUCCCACAGGCAGAAACUUAGGACUCUGUCCAUCUGGCUGUUGCAUUCUCUGGAAUAUUGCCUUGAUUCUCCAACAAGGUCACAACAUGUGUCCAUUCUGAAGUUAAUUUUAAUGUCAGAUAAAUCAUUCAGUGCCUAAAA